rnacentral:rRNA from 1 species
GAGUUUGAUCGUGGCUCAGAUUGAACGCUGGCGGCAUGCCUUACACAUGCAAGUCGAACGGCAGCACGGGAGCUUGCUCCUGGUGGCGAGUGGCGAACGGGUGAGUAAUGCAUCGGAACGUAUCCUGGAGUGGGGGGAUAACGUAGCGAAAGUUACGCUAAUACCGCAUAUUCUGUGAGCAGGAAAGCGGGGGACCUUCGGGCCUCGCGCUCUUGAAGCGGCCGAUGUCGGAUUAGCUAGUUGGUGAGGUAAAGGCUCACCAAGGCGACGAUCCGUAGCAGGUCUGAGAGGAUGAUCUGCCACACUGGAACUGAGACACGGUCCAGACUCCUACGGGAGGCAGCAGUGGGAAUUUUGGACAAUGGGGGCAACCCUGAUCCAGCCAUGCCGCGUGAGUGAAGAAGGCCUCGGUUG